rnacentral:rRNA from 1 species
AUUGAACGCUGGCGGCAUGCUUUACACAUGCAAGUCGAACGGUAACAGGCCUUCGGGUGCUGACGAGUGGCGAACGGGUGAGUAAUGCAUCGGAACGUACCCAGAGGUGGGGGAUAACGCAGCGAAAGCUGUGCUAAUACUGCAUGUGAUCUGAGGAUGAAAGCGGGGGACCGAGCAGCAAUGUUUGGCCUCGCGCCUUUGGAGCGGCCGAUGUCGGAUUAGCUAGUUGGUGGGGUAAAGGCCUACCAAGGCGACGAUCCGUAGCUGGUCUGAGAGGACGACCAGCCACACUGGGACUGAUACACGGCCCAGACUCCUACGGGAGGCAGCAGUGGGGAAUUUUGGACAAUGGGCGCAAGCCUGAUCCAGCAAUGCCGCGUGCGGGAAGAAGGCCUUCGGGUUGUAAACCGCUUUUGGCAGGAACGAAACGGUGUCCGCUAAUACCGGGCGCUAAUGACGGUACCUGCAGAAUAAGCACCGGCUAACUACGUG